CCAGCACCCUUGUGCCGGGACUGAGGAGCCCGCCGAAAAAGGUUGUUUCCCCUGCGGUUUCCAACACGGCAGGCAGGUUUUAUAGACAUGGAUAAGAAGUCCACACACAGAAGUCCUGAAGGUGCCGGGACUGGCAGAAAUGGAGGACAAAAGAUGAAACAUCAAGAAAAAGAAAGAGAAGAAAAAAAGGAGGAAACAACCACAUGCUGUCACCUUUCCAAACAGGGCUGAAACCAGGCUAAACUUCUUGAUUUCCGAAACUCAGUCUUUUGGUGUAAGGUGGCCAAACGAGGAUGCAGAGCCCAGCGCUGUGAAACCUACAGAAACAUGGAAGAGCUUGGGGAAUGGGAUGUCUUUCACACCAUGUCUAGACUCCUGAAACCAGUCUUCAUAUCCUCUGUAACCACACAAUAAAGAGUUGGGAAAUC